rnacentral:rRNA from 1 species
UGCAAGUCGAGCGGUAGCACAGAGAGCUUGCUCUCGGGUGACGAGCGGCGGACGGGUGAGUAAUGUCUGGGAAACUGCCUGAUGGAGGGGGAUAACUACUGGAAACGGUAGCUAAUACCGCAUAACGUCGCAAGACCAAAGUGGGGGACCUUCGGGCCUCAUGCCAUCAGAUGUGCCCAGAUGGGAUUAGCUGGUAGGUGGGGUAACGGCUCACCUAGGCGACGAUCCCUAGCUGGUCUGAGAGGAUGACCAGCCACACUGGAACUGAGACACGGUCCAGACUCCUACGGGAGGCAGCAGUGGGGAAUAUUGCACAAUGGGCGCAAGCCUGAUGCAGCCAUGCCGCGUGUGUGAAGAAGGCCUUCGGGUUGUAAAGCACUUUCAGCGGGGAGGAAGGCGGUGAGGUUAAUAACCUCAUCGAUUGACGUUACCCGCAGAAGAAGCACCGGCUAACUCCGUGCCAGCAGCCGCGGUAAUACGGAGGGUGCAAGCGUUAAUCGGAAUUACUGGGCGUAAAGCGCACGCAGGCGGUCUGUCAAGUCGGAUGUGAAAUCCCCGGGCUCAACCUGGGAACUGCAUUCGAAACUGGCAGGCUAGAGUCUUGUAGAGGGGGGUAGAAUUCCAGGUGUAGCGGUGAAAUGCGUAGAGAUCUGGAGGAAUACCGGUGGCGAAGGCGGCCCCCUGGACAAAGACUGACGCUCAGGUGCGAAAGCGUGGGGAGCAAACAGGAUUAGAUACCCUGGUAGUCCACGCUGUAAACGAUGUCGAUUUGGAGGUUGUGCCCUUGAGGCGUGGCUUCCGGAGCUAACGCGUUAAAUCGACCGCCUGGGGAGUACGGCCGCAAGGUUAAAACUCAAAUGAAUUGACGGGGGCCCGCACAAGCGGUGGAGCAUGUGGUUUAAUUCGAUGCAACGCGAAGAACCUUACCUGGUCUUGACAUCCACAGAACUUAGCAGAGAUGGAUUGGUGCCUUCGGGAACUGUGAGACAGGUGCUGCAUGGCUGUCGUCAGCUCGUGUUGUGAAAUGUUGGGUUAAGUCCCGCAACGAGCGCAACCCUUAUCCUUUGUUGCCAGCGGUUAGGCCGGGAACUCAAAGGAGACUGCCAGUGAUAAACUGGAGGAAGGUGGGGAUGACGUCAAGUCAUCAUGGCCCUUACGACCAGGGCUACACACGUGCUACAAUGGCAUAUACAAAGAGAAGCGACCUCGCGAGAGCAAGCGGACCUCAUAAAGUAUGUCGUAGUCCGGAUUGGAGUCUGCAACUCGACUCCAUGAAGUCGGAAUCGCUAGUAAUCGUAGAUCAGAAUGCUACGGUGAAUACGUUCCCGGGCCUUGUACACACCGCCCGUCACACCAUGGGAGUGGGUUGCAAAAGAAGUAGGUAGCUUAACCUUCGGGAGGGCGCUAC